UACGGAGGGGGCAAGCGUUGUUCGGAAUCACUGGGCGUAAAGCGCGCGUAGGCGGGCAUGAAAGUUAGGGGUGAAAUCCCGGGGCUUAACUCCGGAACUGCCUUUCAGACUAGGUGUCUAGAGUUCGAGAGAGGUGAGUAGAAUUCCGAGUGUAGAGGUGAAAUUCGUAGAUAUUCGGAGGAAUACCGGAGGCGAAGGCGGCACCCUGGC
rnacentral:rRNA from 1 species